rnacentral:rRNA from 1 species
AUUGAACGCUGGCGGCAUGCUUUACACAUGCAAGUCGAACGGUAACAGGCCGCAAGGUGCUGACGAGUGGCGAACGGGUGAGUAAUGCAUCGGAACGUGCCCAGUCGUGGGGGAUAACUACUCGAAAGAGUAGCUAAUACCGCAUACGAUCUAUGGAUGAAAGCGGGGGACCGUAAGGCCUCGCGCGAUUGGAGCGGCCGAUGUCAGAUUAGGUAGUUGGUGGGGUAAAGGCUCACCAAGCCAACGAUCUGUAGCUGGUCUGAGAGGACGACCAGCCACACUGGGACUGAGACACGGCCCAGACUCCUACGGGAGGCAGCAGUGGGGAAUGUUGGACAAAGGGCGCAAGCCUGAUCCAGCAAUGCCGCGUGCAGGAAGAAGGCCUUCGGGUUGUAAACUGCUUUUGUACGGAACGAAACGGCUCUGGUUAAUACCCGGGGCUAAUGACGGUACCGUAAGAAUAAGCACCGGCUAACUACGUG